rnacentral:rRNA from 1 species
CCUACGGGAGGCAGCAGUGGGGAAUAUUGGACAAUGGGGGAAACCCUGAUGCAGCGACGCCGCGUGAGUGAAGAAGGAAUUCGGUAUGUAAAGCUCUAUCAGCAGGGAAGAAAAUGACGGUACCUGAGAAAUAAGCACCGGCUAACUACGUGCCAGCAGCCGCGGGAAUACGUAGGGGGCAAGCGUUAUCCGGAUUUACUGGGUGUAAAGGGAGCGUAGACGGCAGUGCAAGUCUGGAGGGAAAGGCGGGGGCUUAACCCCUGGACUGCUCUGGAAACUGUACGGCUUGAGUGCAGGAGAGGUAAGUGGAAUUCCGAGUGUAGCGGUGAAAUGCGUAGAUAUUUGGAGGAACACCAGUGGCGAAGGCGGCUUACUGGACUGUAACUGACGUUGAGGCUCGAAAGCGUGGGGAGCGAACAGGAUUAGAUACCCUUGUAGUC